rnacentral:misc_RNA from 1 species
CCAAACUUGGUCAUUUAGAGGAAGUAAAAGUCGUAACAAGGUCUCCGUUGGUGAACCAGCGGAGGGAUCAUUACUGAGUUUACAACUCCCAACCCAUUGUGAAUCUUACCAUUUGUUGCUUCGGCGGGAUCGUCCCGGUGCCUCUGCUGCCCGGAUCCAGGCGCCCGCCGGAGGCCCCAAACUGCUGUUUCCUCACAGAGUAUUGUAUAAUCUGAGUGGCGAAAGCAAAAACGAAUCAAAACUUUCAACAACGGAUCUCUUGGUUCUGGCAUCGAUGAAGAACGCAGC